rnacentral:lncRNA from 1 species
AACACAGACUGGAAAGAUACACACAAAAUUCAGGAUGGUAAAAGAAGAAAGGAGAUUCCUCUUGCAAAAGAAGCCAAGUAUAAACAUGGAAGAACAACUGCCUAAGCAAGUAGAAAAGUGUUCCAUAAUAGUGUGCAAUGAAUGAAGAGUUCUGGAUUAAUCUCUGGAACUCAACCUGCACCCUGAUCUUUAUUUUGAAUGGGAUCUAGAACGGGAUCUUGAAGUAGCUCUUUUUGGCGGAGGGGACACAGAAUGACCCUUUGAGGGUGGAGCAGGUAGGGGUGAAUUGGAAUGAGACUGGCUCCUUGAUCUGUAUUUUGACUUCAUAUCACCUUUUCCAUUUUCUUUGGAAGAUCGGGACCGAGACCUGCUUGGAGAUUUCUCAUACUCAUCCUUAGAUCUGCUUUGAGAACAAGAACAGGAGCCCAGAUCAGAUUUGGGCAUAGAUUUGCUCCUUGAGCUAGAUUUCCUGCCUUUUGAACGAGAACGUGAUCGACCUUUGCUCCGCAACCUAGAUCAGGAGUGACUUUUUGAGAUACUUCGAGAUCUACUGUGGCUGCUCCUGCGACUCCUACUUCGUGACCAUCUUCUAGAUCUAUACCUGGAUCUGCUUCCAGAAUCAGAUCGCCUAUGGCUUGUGCCUGGCUUACCUUCAAUAAGCCUAAUAUUUCUGCACCAUCCAGUUUGUCCAAAGCAAGCUUCAUGUCAAAAUAGGAGUGAAACUCAACGCCCUCACUUGUGCAUUCCUUGUGAGCAUCAACAUAGGUU